AUUGAACGCUGGCGGAAUGCUUUACACAUGCAAGUCGAACGGCAGCACGGGUGCUUGCACCUGGUGGCGAGUGGCGAACGGGUGAGUAAUGCACCGGAACGUAUCCAAUAAUGGGGGAUAACGCACCGAAAGGUGUGCUAAUACCGCAUACGCCCUGAGGGGGAAAGCGGGGGAUCGUAAGACCUCGCGUUAAUGGAGCGGCCGAUGCCGGAUUAGCUAGUUGGUGAGGUAAAGGCUCACCAAGGCGACGAUCCGUAGCUGGUCUGAGAGGACGACCAGCCACACUGGAACUGAGACACGGUCCAGACUCCUACGGGAGGCAGCAGUGGGGAAUUUUGGACAAUGGGCGCAAGCCUGAUCCAGCCAUUCCGCGUGAGUGAAGAAGGCCUUCGGUUGU
rnacentral:rRNA from 1 species